UUGGAGGGCAAGUCUGGUGCCAGCAGCCGCGGUAAUUCCAGCUCCAAUAGCGUAUAUUAAAGUUGUUGCAGUUAAAAAGCUCGUAGUUGAAUUUCGAGACCGGCUUACUGGUCGUGCUAUUGUACGUACUGGUAUAAUCGGUUUCUCCCUUCUGACGAACUAUAAUGCCAUUAAUUUGGUGUUAUAGGGAAUCAGGACUGUUACUUUGAAAAAAUUAGAGUGUUUAAAGCAGGCUCACGCUUGAAUACAUUAGCAUGGAAUAACGGAAUAGGACGUUUGAUUCUAUUUUGUUGGUUUCUAGGAUCGACGUAAUGAUUAAUAGGGAUAGUUGGGGGCAUUAGUAUUCAAUUGUCAGAGGUGAAAUUCUUGGAUUUAUUGAAGACUAACUACUGCGAAAGCAUUUGCCAAGGAUGUUUUCAUUAAUCAAGAACGAAAGUUAGGGGAUUGAAG
rnacentral:rRNA from 1 species